GUCCAUUUGGUGAUAUAAAUGGUCUAGCCUGCUCACUGAUAAAGUUGUUGAAGAGCCGCGGUAUACUGACCGUGCAAAGGUAGCAUAAUAAUUAGAGGUUUAAUUGAAAUCUAGAAUGAAAGGUUGGACAAAGGAAAAACUGUCUUUAAAUGAUAGAAAUUGAAAUUUACUUUUAAGUGAAAAGGCUUAAAUAAUUCAAAGGGACGAUAAGACCCUAUAAAGCUUUAUAAAUAACUUAGAUUAAAUUAAUUCAUAAUUUAAAGGUUAAAUCUAAUUUAUUUUAUUAUAUUGGGGUGAUAUGAGUAUAAUUAGUGUUAACUGCUUAAAUAAUAUUCUAUGAUAAAAGAGUUAUAAAGUAUAUGAUCCUUUUUUAAAGAUUAAAAGAUUAAGUUACUUUAGGGAUAACAGCGUUAUUUUUUUCAAGAGUUCAUAUCGAAAAAAGAGAUUGCGACCUCGAUGUUGAAUUAAAAUAUCUGUAUAGUGCAGUCGCUAUAGAAGAGGGUCUGUUCGACCUUUAAAUUUUU
rnacentral:rRNA from 1 species